GUGACAUCAGCACUUCUACUGGAAUCAUCUCUUCUGACAGGUUUGCAGUUUUACAGAGGAUGUCCACAGCAGCUCCCUGACUCCACUGCUGAACGCUUCACCCCAGCUCCCUUCCUCCUCAGUUUUCUCUUGAGUCAAGAGUCCCCAGGUUUCCACAUUUCUUUGUCAUGGGAAAGAGGUGACCCGUUCUUACGUCAAGGUUUAACGAUAACAUGAAACCAGAAUGUCCCAGAUCAACUCCCACAGAGCACUGGUACCAGCUUCCUUGCAGCCCAGGACUUUCCUCCUUCUGUCUCAUUUCUGGUAAUCUCCAUCCUCAUUUUCCUAGAGUUUAAUAUCAUCCAGUAAUAAAUCCAGCUGGAUUACAUCAGUUGCACUUCCAUUGUUUAAGAAAGCAAUUAGAUCACCUAGUACAAUGCUCCUUUUAUAAAAGCCCCUUCUUUAUCAUCCAUCAGUAAACAUCCUUUUUCUUUCAAAUUAAUUCCAAGACUUGCAUUCUAAUUAAGUCCGACAGGUACUUCUUUCUGUUUCAUUUCUUCCUGUACCUUUCCUAUAUUUUUCUAUGAGAUUGUACCACAAAGGACUUAACUUGGUACACAUUUUGCAACUCUCUGUACUGGUUCUUUUGUAUUUCUGAGAUAGCAGUUCCCAAGGUGCCAGUCUGCAUGAACAAAGCUCUCCAACUUUUGCUUACAAUUAAUUUGUAAUAAAUUUCCAUUUUAUCUUCGUGUUUCAUUUAGACAUUCCGCUGUGUUCCCAACUAUCAGCUGCCAUAACCCAGCAAAACUGAACAGUGGGUUUGAUCCCUCUGUCCUGUAGCCACACAGAGGAACAGCUCCUGAUGACUGCUUUACUAAACAGCAGAUUUACAUGUCCUCCCUAGUCACUGAAACUGUGCACAUGCCUGUCCUGGGCUCCUGUCAGUUUAUGGUGGUAGGCUAAAGAUAGAAAUGUCUUUAUUUUUUUAUCCAAGUUUCAAAGUGUUUGUUCUGGAAAGCAUCUGAUAUCUACACAGUGUCUGUUAUUUGCUGGACUUGCACAACAGAAAAAAAGCACCACCAAAACCCCAAAUUACCUCUUUUCACAUUGUGUGAAACAUUUUCCUCUUGCCAGAGAGUAGAUUAUUUUUCCUUACACUAAUCAUUAUUCUAACCUAUACACAAAGCUUUUUACAGACUUUCCAAAUUUACCUGCAAGUGUUAGAUGAGGCAAUGAACCAUGCACAUAAUUUAUUUUUAAAUUCAAAACCUUAGAUUUAACAGGUCUUGACUUUUUCACUUGAUUACUUUAUAAACUAGUCGUUAUUUAAUCUGAACAGAUCCUUAUUUCCAAAUAAUAUGAUUCCUGCUAGAUGACUUUUCUGCUAGAUGUCAACAAGAAUCUAGCAGGUCAACAGGCUACAGAGAAUAUAUUAAGGAAACAGUCAUUCUGUGCCAUCAAGCAAAAUUCUUCAGCUGUUUUGAAGAUAACUGUUUAAAAUCUUCUGAAUUUUGACUAUCCCUAAUUUGAUCUAAUUUGAUCUGUUUAGAGUAUGACCAAAAUGCCUAAUCCUUACCAGAUGCAAGUACACGGGGUUGAAGCAAGUUAGAGGUCAUCAGUCAACAAGAGCUGAAGGUUCUCAAAAUUAUGUUACAUCCUCUGAUGUUUGGAAAUGUGCGGAGGAGGAAGCCUUGAAAAGAACUCUGGCUGCACUCCGCUUUAUUCAAAACUUUCUUUGUAUUUUUUUUGUUGUAAUAAAAUUUAAAAUUUAUCAGAGGAAAUCAAAAGAAUAAAGGAGCCAUUCCCAGACACGUCUCCUGUAGAGACUUGCUGUGCUAUUAUUCUUUAAUUCAAAAGGAACAACAAGGUGAGCAUCUGUUUUAUUCUGGAGAAGAACAACUUCUCAUUUUAGAUGUGUGCACAGAAGUGGCUGUAAUGUGAUAUGGAAUCCAUAAGCAAAGGCUUAAAGUUCUAUCUGAAGUGCUUUUUCAAUUCAAGUUCAAGUGCCUUACUUUUUGUUUCUGCAAUCAGAUCUCUCUUACACUUCCUACUUAGAAAGAUUUUGGCACGUAUUGCUUUGAGUAUUUUUAUUUAACUCUCCAUUAGGAACCUAAUUCCUUACUCAGGAAUCUAAUUUCAUGUGGUUUGUUUUCAAUUUAUUCAACACAAAUUCUGUUCUCUCAAUGUGAAACCAAACUCACACGUUAAUCUGUAUGUUAGGGAACAGUGAAAUAAAACGGAUGUGCUGUACUUUGCGUCCAGCAUUGUUUCUGUAUAUGAACUUUACAAUACUUUUUCUAUCUACUCUGGUAAUAAGAAAACCAAGGAGAGUAAUACCAGAUCCUGAACCACUCAGCUGUCAAGUGUCCAUGGUCAUAAAGACAAUACAUUUUUUGGAGCAUUAACAAGAGCUAUGUCUUUUUACUUAUUUAACAGUUGACUUUUACAUUACUUUCUGCAGUAAGGAGCAAAUCCACAGCUCUCUAAAUCUUCACACAUCUAAAUGCUCUGCUGUAAAGAUAACAUUUUAUCUGCCAUGACACAGUUACUUUCCCUUCUCUGUAAAUACCUUGAGAAAACACUAAAAACCUCAGAAAAAUCAACGUAACUGUUAUUUUGAUUUCUUAAAUAGCAAAUCCCUUAGGCAGUAUUUUAAAAACUAUAGGAAAGAAUAUUUAAAUUAUGUGGGAAAUCUUUUUUUUUUUUUUUUAAGAUAAUGGAACUGACAUCAACUGCUGUUGCUUCAGCUAAGUUUAAUUCUAAAUGAGUUCAAUAUCUUGCCCAAAAGGAAGACAGACAUUAAGUAAUCAAUAACAGCUGGAGUAAACUAUGGCCAUGACCUUUUAAAUAACUUCUGGGAAAGCUGCAGAUCUUCUGUGGGUCAUAAUGAAUUUCAGGGAAUUUAUGGCUUCACUGCAGCCUAUGGGAAUUUCAUCACUACCACCA